GGUGCAAGCGUUGUCCGGAAUUAUUGGGCGUAAAGAGCUCGUAGGCGGUCUGUCGGGUCGGCUGUGAAAACUCGGGGCUCAACUCCGAGCUUGCAGUCGAUACGGGCAGGCUAGAGUUCGGCAGGGGAGACUGGAAUUCCUGGUGUAGCGGUGAAAUGCGCAGAUAUCAGGAGGAACACCGGUGGCGAAGGCGGGUCUCUGGGCCGAAACUGACGCUGAGGAGCGAAAGCGUGGGGAGCAAACAGG
rnacentral:rRNA from 1 species